UGAAAAAACCCUAUUUUUUGUUUGAAAUUCAGUCCGCACUCCUUUGUUCCACCCCUCGACCCCGGCUGCAUCUGGCGACGCCGCCACCUCGCCGCCAGCCCGCGUCAUCCGCCGCCCCUUGCCGGCACGCGCUCUCCCCGUCCGCCUCCGGCCUCCAUCAUCUCCGCACCGGCGACCUCCCCUUGCCUCCUCCUCCUUCCCUUCUCUUCCACCUAGAUUGAGAAGGGAAGCCAUGGCGCUCCCGCAGCGGCUAGAUCCAGACCAAACCCGUGGGGUUCCAGCUCGACCUCCUCGCAGCGACCAUGGAGGCGGAAUCCGCGGAUCCCACGACCACGGUGGUGCGAGCCCCCCCUCCCGCGCACUCCUUCCCUUCCACUCUGUUCCAUUGAUGCAAAAUUUUCUCUUUUUUUCAUGAUUGACCACUCGCAAUGGAGUUGGAAGCAGGAGGGAUGUGGGUCAGGCAUCUACAUGUGCUGCUGAAUUCGAUUGAUGGUUCUUGAUUGUUGAGUAAUUCCUGUUAGUUGUUAUAUGUGCUGCUGAAUUCUCCAUUAGGGACUUGAUUCAUAUUGGUUGCUGACUUCAUUGUUGAUUGUUGAUUGUCGAGAGAAAAUCCAGGAGAGCGGUUGAUGCUAGCGCUGGCGAUGCGUCAUCUCCCGCCCACGCAGCCUCCCCACUAUGCCUCCACACCCAGAUUCGAGUCCUCUCGGUCUCCCUCCCCCAUCUGUGGUCGGCAACGACAGUCACAAUGAUAGCGAAGUGGUACGACCAGGGGAUGGCGCACAUACGUUGUUGCCGUCGGCUGGCCUAUGCUCGCGUUCAGGAAUGAUGCGUGUUUGCUUUACUGUAGGUGCUUUGGCGCUCUGUAUUUGCUUGUUGUAGAUGCUCUGCUUCCUCUGUUUUCUGCUUUGUCGUGUAUCAAUUGGGUGGUUUGUAGCUGCUGAUGUAAUCCAAGAUGAAGCAGGCAUACAUGUGGACGCUGCUUCUCGCUUGUCUAGCUGCAACUGAUCGCUGGACAAUCACUUAGGGCAGUAUCAUUGCCAUAUAAUUAUUGCAGAGUUGUGUAAGUUUGAUUCAUGAAUGAUAGGACCAAGGAAGGAUAAAUGAAAUGCUUUGCAGUUCAAAAGAGAGUUAACAAUGAUUUAACGACGUUGGAUGGCUGAAUGUGCUCCUAAAGAAGAGGUCGGCUGCUAACAGGUUCCAGGUGGCCGGGAUUGAGGAAAUUAUAUCAGGAAACGAUUUUACAAGGAUGCAUCCCUUUUUACAUGGGGAAGCAGAUAACAGUAACGAACCAAGCAAGAUGACUAUGGUGCGUGACCUCAAGCUGUGAUAAGACAGAAACUGGAACUUCUGUGCCCGUUGAAGAUGAGACGGACGAAGUUACUGAUGAAGCAAUUGGUGCAAAGCUCAAUAUUUUAUAUACACAGAAAAGGGCAGUUUCUUCAGAACUUGCCACUGCUCAUGCAUGUGAAAAGAACAUAGCUGAUAAAAACAAGUCUCUUAAGCACAAGGUAAGGAAGUCAUUCUUGGAGAAGCAGAGAUUGUUGUAACAACACUCAGUGGGUGUGGAGGUGAUAUUUACGGAGUUUGCUCGGAAAUUGCUUCAACUAAGGAAUAUGGGAAUUUCUCUGAGCAAACUUUGUUUGAUGUUUUUGUUAUCGAUUUAAGCUGCACAGGCUCUUGAGCAUGCAACUUUGAUUCCACUUCAGCUACUCAAGUCAAAAGGAACUAAGUGCAUAAUGGUAACAUGCUCUCUUUUAAAACAUUUCUGAUUAAAGAAUAGUUUUUAGCUACACCUUGAAGCAACAUUACAGUGCUAUCUCUUACUUAGUAAUGUCUCUUUUGAAGGUUGGUGAUCCGAAGCAGCUACCUGCUAUCUCUUACUUAGUAAUGUUACUUAUUAAAGCGCAUGUCAAACCAUGUUGUCAUUCUUGGAUUUUAGUUUUCGGUGUGCCAUAUCUUUUUUACAUUUAUGUCCUAAAAAUGCUCUGAUUCCAAUGAUGAUCAACCUUAUGCAAUUUUAUGUGAAAACAAUAGCAACCUCAUUAACAUGAUUACAAGUAACAAGCUGCGCAUACAUAGUCCCCGUGUGUUGUUUGAGUAUGCCAUUCUUAAUGGAUUACUAAAUUUGUAUGUGAGAACUGAGAAGAGCUAUCAACUGCAGGCCGUAUGCUAAUUUCUCAAUUAUUUUGUAUUGUCUGCACGAUCGAAUGCAUCCUUACAUUAGCAGAUUCCCGUCGUUGCAUUUCUAUGAAAACAAACUGCUGGAUGGUGCUCAGAAGGCUGAGAAAUCAGAUCCUUUCCAUGAUCACCGUUGUCUUGGUCCAUACAUGUUCUUUGAUAUUGCCGAUGGUCGUGAGCAUGCUGGAACAAGUGCUGCUGCACAAUCACUCUCUAAUCAAUUUGAAGCUGGUGCAGCACUUGAAAUACUGUCAUUUUUAAAGAACAAAUAUCCAACAGAUUUCUCCUGUAGAAAGAUAGGGACCAUAACUUAUGGCUAUGUUGGGGAAGAGUUCUUGCGGGUAGCAUCUUUCCAUUGUCUGUAAAUUGAUGUAUAAAGCGGGCAUUCCAUUCUUUAAAAAUUGAUAGAUAAAAUGGAUGCAGGUGUGAGCUUGAGGAAGAAGGAGACGGCAAGUGAAAGACCGAGAAGACCAGGAAUUAUUCUUUGCUGGCCGUAAGGUGGAGGCGCUGCUUAGGGAACAUGUGCGGACAUCCUUGCUCCUUUUAUUCUUCCAGUUUUAGGUACUCUCCAGCAGGCUUGUACGGAGUACCUAUCUUGCUAUGUACUGAAUUAUUUGCAACUAUGUAGCAAACUGUAUUAGGAGAUCUAGAUAUAUAAUGCGUGUGUGUAUGAAUUAAUUAUUACCAUCACCUAGCUAGCUUGUUACCUGAAAGAUCGAGGCGAACUUUUAUUGUAUGGAUGCUGUGUCGCUGGUUUUCUGUGAUGUUUCAGGGACACAUUGUUUUUCA